rnacentral:rRNA from 1 species
AGUGAACGCUGGCGGUAGGCCUAACACAUGCAAGUCGAACGGCAGCACAGUAGGAGCUUGCUCUUACGGGUGUCGCGUGGCGGACGGGUGCGGAAUACAUCGGAAUAUACUUUUUCGUGGGGGAUAACGUAGGGAAACUUCCGCUAAUACCGCAUACGACCUACGGGUGACAGCAGGGGAUCUUCUGACCUUGCGCGAUUGAAUGAGCCGGUGUCGGAGUAGCUAGAUGGCGGGGUAAAGGCCCACCAAGGCGGCGAUCCGUACCUGGCCUGAGAGGAAGAUCAGCUACACGGUAUCUGAGACAGGGUCCAGACUCCGACGGUGGGCAGCAGUGGGGAAUAUUAGGCGAUGGGGGCGAGCCUGAUCCAGCGAUAUCGCGUGGGGGCAGAAGGCCUUCGGGUGGUAGAGUCCUGUUGUUGUUAAAGAUGUGCAGCUGUUUAACACCCCGCGGUUCUGACGGUACCCAAAGAAUAAGCACCGGCUAACUUCGUG